rnacentral:rRNA from 1 species
UACGUAGGGUACAAGCAUUAAUCGGAAUGAUUGGGCGUAAAGGGCGCGUAGGCGGCCUUGUAAGUCAGGUGUGAAAUUCCAAAGCUCAACUUUGGAGCUGCACUUGAAACUACAGGGCUAUAGAGGUAAGACGGAGAAAGCGGAAUUCCACGUGUAGCGGUGAAAUGCGUAGAUAUGUGGAGGAACACCGGUGGCGAAAGCGGCUUUCUAGUUUUAUCCUGACGCUGAGGCGCGAGAGCAAGGGGAGCAA